rnacentral:rRNA from 1 species
UGGGGAAUCUUCCGCAAUGGACGAAAGUCUGACGGAGCAACGCCGCGUGAGUGAAGAAGGUUUUCGGAUCGUAAAACUCUGUCUUUUGGGGCGAACGUGAGUAUGGUGAACAAUCAUAGUCAGUGACGGUACCAAAGGAGGAAGCCACGGCUAACUACGUGCCAGCAGCCGCGGUAAUACGUAGGUGGCAAGCGUUGUCCGGAAUUAUUGGGCGUAAAGAGCGCGUAGGCGGGAUAGUCAGUCUGUUGUAAAAGUGCGGGGCUCAACCCCGUGAUGGCAAUGGAAACAGCUAUUCUUGAGUGCAGGAGAGGAAAGUGGAAUUCCCAGUGUAGCGGUGAAAUGCGUAGAUAUUGGGAGGAACACCAGUGGCGAAGGCGACUUUCUGGACUGUGUCUGACGCUGAGGCGCGAAAGCCAGGGGGAGCGAACGGGGAUUAGAUACCCCCGGUAGUCCUGGCCGUAAACGAUGGGUACUAGGUGUGGGAGGUAUCGACCCCCUUUCCGUGCCGGAGUUAACGCAAUAAGUACCCCGCCUGGGGAGUACGGUCGCAAGACUGAAACUCAAAUGAAUUGACGGGGUCAUAGCUGUUUCCUG